rnacentral:lncRNA from 1 species
UUUUGCCAAUGCUAAGCACCACGCUAAGUGAUACAAAGAGCAAACAAUCCCUGUCUUCAACUUACAUCCCAAUGUGAGAGCCACCAUGUAUAGAUCUGUACACACAAGAUUAAUAGCCUUGAGAGGAGGAUGUUAGAGUCUGGGAAGGACCAGGAAAGGACCCCUUGUGGAAUGGCAUUUGAGCUGAAUAUUAGAGGAAGCCAGAUAGUCCAGGAUGUGCCCAGGAGGAGGGAAGAGUACAGCCCCAGCAAAGGAAUGAAGUGAAGAACGAGUAGUGUGGUUGGAGUAUAGAAUGAGUGUGGGGAAGUGGAGUAAUUGGGCAGCUGGGUGAUACAGUGGAUAGAUCUCAGACACUUGUUGGGUGACCCUGAGUAAGUCAUUUAGCCUCAUUUAUCUCAAAUUUCCUUAUCUAUAGAAUGAGCUAGAGUAGGAUCAGGCAAAAUAGUCCAAUAUCUUCGCUAAGAAACCCCAAAUGAGGUCACAAAAGAGUCAAAGAUGACCAAAAUGAUGAACAAGCAAGAGAGUAAUGUGUUAAAAGGCUAAAACGAGAGGUAGAGACUGAGUUACCAAUUAUUUUCAUCAUUCUGGUAACUGGACAAUCCAACUAGAUACACAACCUAGUUGAAUGGACCCGAAGUGCAAUGGUUAAUUUGGAAGGAAGUCUCCCGAGGAGGCAGUAUCAGGCACUGGAAAAAGCACUAACAUUGUAAUCUGUGGACCUGAAUUAGAAUCCAGCUCUUCUACUCGCUACCUGUGUGACCUUUCUCCUGAGCCUCCAUUUUCUUCUCUUGAAUGAAGGUUCUGGUUAAGACACUCUCUAAAAGUUUCCUUUCAGCUCUCUUACCUAUGAUCCUAAAAGAAGUGUCCCAGGGAGCUGAGCUGCUGGAUGGUGUUAUCAACAACAAAAAAAGCUGUCAGCUUCCUCAGUCGACUUCCUCCUCCCUGGAGAAGACACCCACAAGCACUGGCUGCCAGCCCUGAGCUCGUCCCUGUAUGACUCUCUGGUGUGAAUCUAGUGUCUGGAGUAAUCUCAUACAAUUUCUGGUCUCUGGGAUGAGACCAUAAAACAAUACUGCGUUCUCCAACAAAGUCGAGUCUCCUCCCUCUCCUCAUAUACUGCUUAUAAUAUAUUUAGUAUAGAUUAGGGGGUCUCAUGGGCAUCCCCUCUGCCAUGAGAUUAGUAAUAAGUAACACUUUAAUAAUUG